rnacentral:rRNA from 1 species
GACGAACGCUGGCGGCGUGCUUAAUACAUGCAAGUCGAACGGAAAGGCCCUGCUUUUGUGGGGUGCUCGAGUGGCGAACGGGUGAGUAACACGUGAGUAACCUGCCCUUGACUUUGGGAUAACUUCAGGAAACUGGGGCUAAUACCGGAUAGGAGCUCCUGCUGCAUGGUGGGGGUUGGAAAGUUUCGGCGGUUGGGGAUGGACUCGCGGCUUAUCAGCUUGUUGGUGGGGUAGUGGCUUACCAAGGCUUUGACGGGUAGCCGGCCUGAGAGGGUGACCGGCCACAUUGGGACUGAGAUACGGCCCAGACUCCUACGGGAGGCAGCAGUGGGGAAUAUUGCACAAUGGGCGGAAGCCUGAUACAGCAACGCCGCGUGCGGGAUGACGGCCUUCGGGUUGUAAACCGCUUUCGCCUGUGACGAAGCGUGAGUGACGGUAAUGGGUAAAGAAGCACCGGCUAACUACGUG